rnacentral:lncRNA from 1 species
CAAGUUUGUUUGUUAAAAUGGGAAUUUCUGGGUCUUAUUUUAAACUCUUAGAAAGAAGGUUGUGUCUUAUUAAAAUUAAUCAAAGAAUUUAGUGUUGAUUUAAUUAACAUGCAUUAAUGUACUGAUUUGUAGGAUUAAUUGCCGUUGAAGUGUCUGGAAGAACAUAAUUUAGGUUGUGAGGUGGGAGGAGAAUGGCCAAGGCAUUUGGUUUGUAGGAUUAAUUGGUCUACAAAAUCCGUACUACAAAGGGAUUAUUUUAGCAGAAGCCCAACCCUAGUGUUGAUUUAAUUAACAUGCAUUAAUGUACUGAUUUGUAGGAUUAAUUGCCGUUGAAGUGUCUGGAAGAACAUAAUUUAGGUUGUGAGGUGGGAGGAGAAUGGCCAAGGCAUUUGGUUUGUAGGAUUAAUUGGUCUACAAAAUCCGUACUACAAAGGGAUUAUUUUAGCAGAAGCCCAACCCUUGAGAGCUACUAGUGUCAAGGGUUGCGCAUGGGAGCCCGCAACCAUGACACAUCUGUGCGAUCCAUCAAGAAGGAAGGAGGUCAUUUGGCCCAAUCGGACUGGCCCGUUGCUUGAAGAGAUUGAAGGUCCAUCUACAAGUUAGACAAAUAUGGAAACAUGAUCUUAAAAGAUAUGAUUUAUAAUCUUAGAGAUCUUAGAUAUGAUAUGUAAUUUUAUAAGAUAUUAU